GCCCUCGUGGUGAAACGGAUAUCACAACAGUCUUCGGAACUGUAGGUCCGGGUUCGAUUCCUGGCGAGGGCA
rnacentral:tRNA from 1 species